rnacentral:lncRNA from 1 species
GUCAAAUCACAUCGGCACCAGACUGAGAUACUUUGUCAUUUAAGAAGAUUAACUGUUUUCUUAUGGUAUUAAGAGGUUUUUAUUUGUGUUCGAAAAGCAUGGAGUGCAAAGUGUUUUCAGCAACACCAGACUGACAGGGCAGAAUCGGGAAGUGUCUGUCUGCAUUGGUGAAUGGCAGUAGAUGCGGAUUCUUCCGGAACCUCCUGCAGUGGGGCUCCAGGAUAUGGAGGCCCCGGUUCCCUGGGCCAGAGUCUCUGAGUGUCGGGUGACCCCUAGAGCCGCAUCCAGCCUUGGGAGAUGGGGCCAGGACGCCUCUGAGAUGCCGUGUACCCCUGAGAUUCCCGCUGCCCGGAGCGUGUCUUCCCACUGUUUCCGUGCACUGACCUGGCAGUCAUCUUGUACACACGGAUUGUUGAAGGCUUACUUCUUUUUUCUCUCUCUUUUUUUAAUGUUUAUUUAUUUUUGAGAGCAAGAGAGACAGAGCGCAAGCCAGGGAGGGGCGGAGAAAGAGGCGGGCACGGAAUCCGAAGCAGACUCCGGGCUUUGUGCUGACACAGAGCCCCAUGCGGGGCUCGAACUGACGAACCGUGAGAUCAAGACCUGGGGUGAAGUUGGCUGCUCAACCACCCGAGCCACCUGAAGGCUUAGAUCUUCCAAUGGCUCCAUGCUGUGGGGACAAACACCCAGCCCACCGUGGUCGAGUGAAAAGUGAAAACAUCUGAAUGGCAAACGCUGGGUUUUCCCUUCUUAGAGCCAUCAGGCAACCCGUAAACAUUGAGGAAGGCCUUCCAGUUGCUCGGUUUGUGCGCAAUCUCUGAGGAGAGAGAGACAACCGCAUGUGCGUGAAAGCCAAGGACACCGCCGCCGAAAAGCUGUGACUUCACCUGCAGAAAGAAACAAGUCUGAGACCCAGACAAGGGCCAGGAAAGCUGAGACCCUCCCAGGACCUGGUUGGGAGCAGGCGAGCACCUCCCUUCUCUCUGGAAGGCCUCUGUGUUCCCGGUCCUCCCCAGAGGCCCUGCUGAGAGCAGCAGCCCAGAAAACCGCUCAUGGGAAACAAAAGUCUCCUUCAAGGUGCCUCUGUGAAAAGUACAAACGGAUCCUGCGUCUGCGACAGGCCCUGCUCCCACGUGGUCUCCUGGCAGUAACAAAUGUACUUCUGCUAGUAACUGUUUUGGUAAAUGAGUCAUAUUGUAGCAGUCUUCAUGAAUCAAAGAUAAUUAUAUUUUUACUCAGCUAGCACUGGUUAAGAAAGCGCUCUCAUUCUUCAAUUAGCUGCCUUUUCACUCUGGUGUUUUUCCAGAGGGUCUUCUGCGUCGUGUUAACCUAGUUCCCUGCUCCCUCUUUCCUGCCACUCAAUGCCUUUCGGGUGUUUUCUUGUAAUAGUCUUUGCUGUUGUUCGGCCUUUCACAUUUGUAGGAAACCACCGUGGUGGAUUGGGCUGGGUUUGCCUGGAGGAGACAGAG